AGUGAACGCUGGCGGCAGGCCUAACACAUGCAAGUCGAGCGGCAGCGGGUCCUUCGGGAUGCCGGCGAGCGGCGGACGGGUGAGGAAUACAUCGGAAUCUGCCCUGUCGUGGGGGAUAACCUAGGGAAACUUAGGCUAAUACCGCAUACGACCUACGGGUGAAAGCGGGGGAUCGCAAGACCUCGCGCGACAGGAUGAGCCGAUGUCCGAUUAGCUAGUUGGCGGGGUAAAGGCCCACCAAGGCGACGAUCGGUAGCUGGUCUGAGAGGAUGAUCAGCCACACUGGGACUGAGACACGGCCCAGUCUCCUACGGGAGGCAGCAGUGGGGAAUAUUGGACAAUGGGCGCAAGCCUGAUCCAGCCAUGCCGCGUGGGUGAAGAAGGCCUUCGGGUUGUAAAGCCCUUUUGUCCGGGAAGAAAUCGUCUGGGCUAAUACCCCGGGCGGAUGACGGUACCGGAAGAAUAAGCACCGGCUAACUUCGUG
rnacentral:rRNA from 1 species